rnacentral:SRP_RNA from 1 species
GCUGGGUGUGGUGGCCCACGCCUGUAAUCCUAGCACUCUGGGAGGCCGAGGUGGGUGGAUCACCUGAGGCCAGGAGUUCGAGACCAGCCUGGCCAACAUGGUGAAACCCUGUCUCUA